rnacentral:rRNA from 1 species
CGCCUACGGGGGGCAGCAGUGGGGAAUAUUGGACAAUGGGGGAAACCCUGAUGCAGCGACGCCGCGUGAGUGAAGAAGUAUUUCGGUAUGUAAAGCUCUAUCAGCAGGGAAGAAAUACUGACCUUACGGUCAGCAGACGGUACCUGACUAAGAAGCCCCGGCUAACUACGUGCCAGCAGCCGCGGUAAUACGUAGGGGGCAAGCGUUAUCCGGAUUUACUGGGUGUAAAGGGAGCGUAGACGGCAGCGCAAGUCUGAAGUGAAAUCCCAUGGCUUAACCGCGGAACUGCUUUGGACACUGUAUAG